ACAUUGGCGCAGCUGAUCAGCCAUGCCGCGUGCUAGUGAUGAAGGUCUUCGGAUUGUAAAGCCUAGCUUUAUAGUAUCGGGAGCGAAGGGCAGUGGGUUAAUACCUUGGUGUUUUGACGUGUACCGAUCAGAAUAAGCACCGGCUAACUUCGUGCCAGCAGCCGCGGUAAUACGAAGGGUGCAAGCGUUAAUCGGAAUUACUGGGCGUAAAGCGCGCGUAGGUGGUUCGUUAAGAUGGAUGUGAAAUCCCCGGGCUCAACCUGGGAACUGCAUUCGAAACUGGCAAGCUAGAGUACGGUAGAGGGUGGUGGAAUUUCCUGUGUAGCGGUGAAAUGCGUAGAUAUACGAAGGAACACCAGUGGCGAAGGCGACCACCUGGACUGAUACUGACACUGAUGUGCGAAAGCGUGGGGAGCAAACAGGAUUAGAUACCCUGGUAGUCCACGCCGUAAACGAUGUCAACUAGCCGUUGGGUCCCUUGUGACUCUAUUGGCGCACCUAACGCAUUAAGUUGACCGCCUGGGAAGUACGGCCGCAAGGUUAAACUUCAAAUGAAUUGACGGGAGCCCGCACAAGCGGUGAAGAAUGUGGUUUAAUUCAUACCACCGCGAAGAACCUUACCUCGUCUUGACAUGCUGGAGAACUUUCCAGAGUUGGAUAGUGUGUCGUACAGAGAACUCGUGACACAGGUGCUGCAUGGCUGUCGUCAGCUCGUGUCGUGAGAUGUUGGGUUAAGUCCCGUCAACGAGCGCAACCCUUGUCCAUUAGUUAGCUAGCGACAUCGUGUGCGCACUGCUACUGACAACUGACGAUGACAAGCAGGAUGAAGGAUGACGAUCGACCUCCUCGUGGUCCUUGAUCCGUAGGGCUACGGCUAUCAUACUAGUGACUGGUGACAGGUACAUAGCGGAUGCCAAACGGCGGAGCUGGAGCCCUAAUCCCCUAAUACCGAUUCGUAAUCCGGAUCUGCAUCUGCGAACUGCGACUAGGUUGGAGUCGCUAUCCCUCGUGGAUUCUGAAUGUAACUGGUGCACGACGUAUCACGUUUCCUGGUACAUAGCCAAACAGUGACAGUUAUCAGCAGUGGGGACUGGGCUU
rnacentral:rRNA from 1 species